rnacentral:lncRNA from 1 species
GUUUAUUUAAUAAGAGCAUUUAGAAUUCAAUCAAGUCUUACCUUUGGAGAAGGAAAAACUUUGCUGGAUGCAUCAAUAUGCAGUCGGAUUGGCAAUAGAACUACUCUGCUAUCACAUCAGCAGACUGGUUCGGUAAUAAAGUUAUGUAUUAGGUUGUAAUGCAACCGAGGAUGAGAAUUUCAAGAGCACUUCACUCUCUGCUAACAAUGACUGAAAAGCAAUUCAAUUUACUUCUACUGAUUCAUGAGAUCUCUUGGUUGGAUGAAAUGGUCGAAAUGCAAGAAACGUUAAAAACCAAAGAAUGUAUUGCAUUAAACAUAACAAGCAAACUUAUAUUAAACGCCGCAUGCAAGUUUUCUUUCUUUCUUUUUUUUUAAUAUUAAAAAGAAAAA